AUAACUACAAUCAGCGACCAUUUACUAUGGUCAUCAACCGGCAAACAAGCGCUUGCCCUGUACAAUUAUUAUCAACAUAUUUAAAUCAUCGUGGCUGUAGUCCGGGUCCAGUAUUUAUGACAGUGGAGGGCGUCGUGGUGCCGAGAAAAGUUUUUACCGCUAACCUUGUUGCUUGCCUCAAAUACUGUGACCUAAGUCCGUCGCAUUACAAAUCACAUUCGUUUCGAAUCGGUGCAGCAUCUUUCGCUGCUGAGAAUGGUUUGUCCGAUGCACAGGUUCGUCUUCUAGGUCGGUGGAAAACGAAUGCAUUUCAAAAGUAUAUUCGAGUUUCAUCUCUUUCAACGACUGCUUCAUUAUCUGAGUAACACAAUCCUUCCAAACCGGGCGACAAUGUCGCGGGGUGUUGUCGCUUGGUCCGUUGCAUAGUAUAUUUGGUGGUCCAGAGGGCCUGUCUAGCAGG